GGCAGGGCAAGGGCUGGGGCUCCUGAGCCCUCAGCAGAGGACAAGCAGGAGCUCUGCUGGGGCCACAGCGAGGGACAGGCCCACUGGAGGCUUUUGGCUCGCCCAGGCAAUCCUGCUUGGUUCCUUUCUUACCCCUGACGACUCCAGCUGGCCCAGGCCCGAGGGAAGCUGACUCCCUGUCCACAGAUCUGACCGUGCUCCUUGGGGGCAUGGGCCAUAAGGGCAGGGAAUACCUUCCUGGCUUCACUCAGCCUGGUGCCUGCAGCAGUACCCACAAUAGCAAGCACUCUUCCAAGGGGAAGCCGAGCCCAACAUGCAGUCCCCCAAAUGCACCCGCACAGACAUAUGGCAGGGAACAGACACACAGACUGAAGGGAGCUGUGGACCAAGGGGAAGGGUAACCCAGAAAUAGGAAAUGAAGGAAGGAUUUCCCUUCAGUCAAACUCAGCAGCAGCAGGGAGGUCUGACUGAGCCCCUGAUGAGGCAAAGGAAACAGCUAAAAAUGGAGCAUUUGCUCACUGCCAGCGGCUGACAGGUUUGGUUCUGCCCCUGAGCUGCCAGCAGCCUGAAGAACCCAUUGUAACGGGUCUUUGGACCUUAGUGCGACAAAGAAAGCAUUAGCCUCUGCAGCAGCCUGCAACUGAAUGAGGAGCAACAGACACUAAUGAAAAAUUGGCACGACCUACCAAAUGCCAAAUAUGCUGUAGAGCCCCAUCCUGGGCAUAUGCUUCACGUUUCGUGGAUUAAAUGUCAGUGUAAUCUGAAACCCUCUGAUAGCCAGCAUUUUGAAGGUUUGCAGCAGUUCCCAACCCCUUUCAUUCUGUGGAUUAUUCUUGAGACAGACAGAGCGAGCCCCUUCCACAGACCUACCUCCCCUCCCAAUACAUUCAGUCCCCUCCCCCAGUCUCACAAAACGUUCUCCAAAUCUUGCAUCCUGCAGACCACAAGGAAGGGCCCAGCGAUCCAGAGAUCUGCUGUGACCUAUCGCUGAGAGAAAUUUGAGUGAGCCAGUAAUUAUUGUCAAAUGGAGAAAGGCAGCUGCUAUUCAAAAGUCAGCAUUUGUCAACAGUUACCACACAGAUUAUUGUGGCUCUUCCUCACAGUUAGCAGGGUCACAGAUGUUCUUGGAGCACUAACCUGACUGUAAUUUACCACUCAGCUCCCUUGCCAGAGCACUGCUGGUGCCUGAAGUACACUGAGUCUCCUUCCACAUCACACAGCCAUAGCUAGUCCUCGCUCUAUUUCUGCAUCCUCUAUCCCAGUCAUUUUGCUCCCUGUGAGCUCCAGUAACCUUUUCUACACCACAGCCUCUCUUCUUCCCUGCACCCCUGUAAUUCAUUCCUCAGUGCUCACCUCUUCUACAAUGUACCUGCUGUAUACAGCCCGCGUAACACGUUCAGGAUUCCCACUUCUUUUCAAUCCAUCUCUUGGCAGUUGCUGUGUUGAGACCUGCAUGGAUGAGUGCUGGCUAACCAAUGUCA